AUGAUGCUGUUUAAUCAACAGAUCAAUCAGUUUAUCAGAUUUGUAUCACUGUGGGCCACGUUCGGUGGAGGAACCAGACUGGAUGUUGGAAGUGAUGUCCGUCCCACCCUGACGGUGCUGCCCCCCUCCAGCGAGGAGCUGGAGCACGGGAAGGCCACGCUCAUGUGUCUGGCCAACAAGGGCUUCCCCUCAGACUGGAGUCUGGCCUGGAAGGUGGACGGCAGUAGCAUCAGCAGCAGCUGCAGCUGGGAGGAGAGCAGGAGCCCCGCGGUGCUGCAGAAGGACGGCCGCUACAGCUGGAGCAGCACCCUGAGGCUCCCUGCAGACCAGUGGAGGAAGGUGGGCUCUGUGACCUGUGAGGCCACCCAGGGCUCCCAGACUCCAGUCUCAGAGACACUGAGGAGAGACCAGUGUUCCCAGUCCUGACCUGACUCACUGGGACUCUGCUUCUGGUUUUACUCUGCUACUGCUCUCAGUCUGCACUUUCUUUGUUUCUUUCUCUCAUUGAAUGUUUCAACAUUAAAGUGUUCUUGCUUGCUGUAAUGUCAAUGGUUCCAAAAUUGUAAAACAAUAAAGUUUCAUUUAAAAAAUUCAGGUGCAGUGACAAGUCUUUUGACUUAUUUUCUUUGCCAUAUACAGAAUAUAUUAGGUAUAUUAGUUCAGUUAAUAUACACAGCCACAAUAGUAAAAAUUCCAUCUUUUCUCCAGAUCAUCUUUUGUUGCAUUUCCUACUGUGGAAUAUGUUCUUGUUGUUGCAGUUUUAUCCAUACUAAUACAACAAUAAUUCACCAAUC